GACGAACGCUGGCGGCGUGCUUAACACAUGCAAGUCGAACGGAAAGGCCCUGCUUGCCGGGUGCUCGAGUGGCGAACGGGUGAGUAACACGUGGGUGAUCUGCCCCUUACUUUGGGAUAAGCCUGGGAAACUGGGUCUAAUACUGGAUAGGACCAUGCUGUAGGUGGUGUGGUGGAAAGAUUAGUUUCGGUAAGGGAUGAGCUCGCGGCCUAUCAGCUUGUUGGUGGGGUAAUGGUCUACCAAGGCGUCGACGGGUAGCCGGCCUGAGAGGGUGGACGGCCACAUUGGGACUGAGAUACGGCCCAGACUCCUACGGGAGGCAGCAGUGGGGAAUAUUGCACAAUGGGCGCAAGCCUGAUGCAGCGACGCCGCGUGGGGGAUGACGGCCUUCGGGUUGUAAACUCCUUUCAGCCAUGACGAAGCCCUUGUGGUGACGGUAGUGGUAGAAGAAGCACCGGCUAACUACGUG
rnacentral:rRNA from 1 species